AUUGAACGCUGGCGGCAUGCUUUACACAUGCAAGUCGAACGGUAGAGGGGGCAACCCCUUGAGAGUGGCGAACGGGUGAGUAAUGCAUCGGAACGUGCCCAGUCGUGGGGGAUAACGCAGCGAAAGCUGUGCUAAUACCGCAUACGAUCUCUGGAUGAAAGCGGGGGACCGAAAGGCCUCGCGCGAUUGGAGCGGCCGAUGUCAGAUUAGGUAGUUGGUGGGGUAAAGGCUCACCAAGCCGACGGUCUGUAGCUGGUCUGAGAGGACGACGAGCCACACGGGGACUGAGACACGGCACAGACUCCUACGGGAGGCAGCAGAGGGGAAUUUUGGACAAUGGGCGCAAGCCUGAUACAGCAAUGCCGCGUGCAGGAAGAAGGCCUUCGGGUUGUAAACUGCUUUUGUACGGAACGAAAAGGUCUGGGUUAAUACCCUGGGCACAUGACGGUACCGUAAGAAUAAGCACCGGCUAACUACGUGCCAGCCGCCGCAGUAA
rnacentral:rRNA from 1 species